rnacentral:ncRNA from 1 species
CUGUGAUGUGUAUUACAUAAAAAUAAAGAUAUUUACAGGAGCAACCCAUGAAACUGAUUAACAAAAUCAUCGCAAUGUUCGAAAAAAUGAGCGUCUCAUUUGGUACUUUUAACGGUUAAUUAUUUCAUCAUUAUUCCGUAAGUCUUCACAAUAUUCUGGAUAGAAUUCAGUUUGCGGCUGAUGGUUCUAAAUUCAUCAAAAGCAGAAUGUAAAAUAACAGCAUAAUAUGUAAUUUUCUGUUUCCGGGUUUUGUUAUUAUUAGACAAUAUCUCGUAUUUUGAUUUGUGUAAUCUCGGAUAUUUUUUCU